rnacentral:rRNA from 1 species
CACGUAGUUAGCCGGGGCUUCUUAGUCAGGUACCGUCAUUUUCUUCCCUGCUGAUAGAGCUUUACAUACCGAAAUACUUCUUCACUCACGCGGCGUCGCUGGAUCAGGGUUCCCCCCAUUGUCCAAUAUUCCCCACUGCUGCCUCCCGUAGGAGUUUGGGCCGUGUCUCAGUCCCAAUGCGGCCGUUCACCCUCUCAGGCCGGCUACUGAUCGUCGCCUUGGUGGGCCGUUACCCCGCCAACCAGCUAAUCAGACGCGGGUCCAUCCUGUACCACCGGAGUUUUCACACUGUAUCAUGCGAUACUGUGCGCUUAUGCGGUAUUAGCACCUAUUUCUAAGUGUUACUCCCCCUGUACAGGGCACGGUUCCCACGCGUUACUCACCCGUCCGCCACUAAGAUCGCCAACAUUUCCACUCUUAGCAAGCUAAUCGACUUACAAAAUGGCACUCCCCGU